AUUUAAAUAAUUUAAUAAAAAUAUUGAUUUGUGGAGUCAAAAAUAUGAUUUAUAUUCAUUUUAAGUU
rnacentral:tRNA from 1 species